GACGUAGGGCGCGAGCGUUGUCCGGAUUUAUUGGGCGUAAAGAGCUCGUAGGCGGCUUGUCGCGUCGUCCGUGAAAAACCUGCAGCUCAACUGCAGGCUUGCGGUCGAUACGGGCAGGCUGGAGUUCGGUAGGGGGAGACUGGAAUUCCUGGUGUAGCGGUGGAAUGCGCAGAUAUCAGGGAGGGAACACCGGUGGCGAAGGCGGGUCUCUGGGGCAGUAACUGACGUGAGGGAGCGAAAAGCGUGGGGG
rnacentral:rRNA from 1 species